UGGGGAAUAUUGGACAAUGGGCGGAAGCCUGAUCCAGCCAUGCCGCGUGUGUGAAGAAGGCCUUUUGGUUGUAAAGCACUUUAAGCGAGGAGGAGGCUACUUGGAUUAAUACUCUAGGAUAGUGGACGUUACUCGCAGAAUAAGCACCGGCUAACUCUGUGCCAGCAGCCGCGGUAAUACAGAGGGUGCGAGCGUUAAUCGGAUUUACUGGGCGUAAAGCGUGCGUAGGCGGCUUCUUAAGUCGGAUGUGAAAUCCCUGAGCUUAACUUAGGAAUUGCAUUCGAUACUGGGGAGCUAGAGUAUGGGAGAGGAUGGUAGAAUUCCAGGUGUAGCGGUGAAAUGCGUAGAGAUCUGGAGGAAUACCGAUGGCGAAGGCAGCCAUCUGGCCUAAUACUGACGCUGAGGUACGAAAGCAUGGGGAGCAAACAGG
rnacentral:rRNA from 1 species